GAUUAAAAUUGUAUUAGCAUUCCAUCCUUAAUUAAUACUUAUAUUAAUUUAAUCAAAAAGUAACAACAGUAUCUGGUGCAGUGCAACUGCAAGUCUGCAACAACAAAAGCACAAAAUUCUGUGAUAUUCCCUUCACGUUCUUCUCUCAGUGACUCCUUUAUUUGCUUUAAUUGCUUCCUUCUCCUUUUCCAGCCCUUCGCAUAUUCAUUUUUAAUUCAGUUUAAGUGAAGCGAUAGCAUUAGCCAUUAGGCAUCCAAAUUGGAUGCUUAUAGGCCUGCUUAAAGCUAAAGAAGUUGCUUUACUUUUUUGGAUUCUGAGUUCCCAAUAGCUGUUCUUUUUCAAUGCCAUGGAAAAGGAAGAAGAACUCGACUUUGCUUCUGCUCCCAAUCUUCAACACGACGCCAAUGGAGUUUUAAGGAAGAAUGAGAGAAGCGUACCCGAUGCGACAGAUGCUUCAAGAAAUGCCAAAUCCGAGUGCCAGUCUCUACAGAAUGCGGCUCGCCAAAAUGAGCAGUAUACUGCGCUUCUUCAGAGGGCACUCGACCCUCAACAUGCAGGGGAGAAAUCUACAUCCUCGUCCGCCGCCGCGAUGAACGAGCCGAUUCAGCCGCCGCAAAACCUGGCCAAUAUUCAGCCGCCGCCGCAAUUUGUGCUGUCCUCACAACCCUUUUGGCUACAGCCGCGAGCGGAUGGAGUUGCUGGCUUUCAGCCCCAAACUCCUAAUUUCGGUUACCCUGUUGGAUAUCCAACAUAUUCUGGCUUUCCAGGUUAUUGGGAACCCUCAAUUUGGUGGGGUCAAUCACAACCAUUACUGUUUCCUGGGAUGUCCAACUAUCCAAGAGCAUCAUAUGGAUUUGUCUCUUCUCAAUCUUGGCCAAUGCCAGUUUCUAGUUGUAUAACAUCUUCCUCCUCUGGACAACCCAUUUUAAGAGGAGUCAUUAAGCCCCCUGAAAAGCUUUCUCAGAAGCAUCAAAGACUUUGGGAAGCUCAGUCAGUAGAAAAUGUUCAAUUGUGGAAUAUGAUGGGGCAGUUGCAAGGGGAAUUAGCUGACUGCAAGGGCCGCUUGAUUAAGCUUGAAGCUGAAAUUUCAUCUUUGAGAUCAGCAGCUAUGGAGGAGCCUGCUGUGAAAGUUGGAAAUGGUGGCAUUACAGUAAGGGGCCAAGCGGCGAAGCGAGGAAGGCCGAAAAGAGCAAUAGCCCUGGUUGGUUCACAACUUCCAUUGCAACCCAGGGCACAGGGACGAAAGCCAGCAAUAGGAAGGACUAGGGAAGAAGAAGCAGACCCAACUGUUCUUGAAAAAGAAAGCUUGAAUAAGGUGGAUGAUAAGUAUAAGGAUUUUAGUUCCCUUGUCACUACAGAGCAAGACAGGAAUGAAGGCGUUUCUACCACCAUCACUCAAGACAAUGGGGCCGUGGAGACUGAUGAUGGUACUCUCAAGAUGCCAGCUUCUUUAGGCAAUCAACUUCUUCAGCAAUUCCCCGAAAUUGAAUCAAUGUCGAUAUUGAAAUCCAAUUACGAAGGUAUCAUCUCUGAAGAUUCCAAGCGAAACACGUUGAGUAUAGCUUUCCCAACAUUCUACACGAAUGAACUUUGAAGGCGAGGAGGACACUGUCGAAUUGGGAUUUACUGCAGUAUGACACGAAAAUGAGAAUGAAGAAAUGGCAGAUGAAUUCAGUUGAAACACAAAAUGGCUUCUCCUGGUGUGGCAAGUAAGUUGUAAAGGAUCAAUUGUUCUUCUUGUAGCUUGAAUAAGUAGUAAUUCGCAAAUUGACGAGGCUGACACUGAAUAAUUCUGCCCCAUUUGGCAAAGCUUCUGCCAUUUAGUGGAGAUGGUUUGACCAAAAUUUUGUACGACGGGAAGAUUGGAUUCAGCUUACUUAACAUGAAAUAAUAAUUAUUUGCUUUUGUUGAUGGGGCGGUGGCGUUCUCAAACGGGCAGCCGGCGUUGACAGAUUAAAGAUGGAAACCAUUAGCGGCGGUAGUCCGAUCAAUGAACCGACGACGACGGCGACGGCUAUUGACAGUGGCUGAGGGAGACCAUCCACGUUGACGGAGAAAAAGUGGCGUAGAAGAAGAUCCAAAGUUUGAAAUAAAAAGCUCAUUAAUUAGUCAAAUAUGUUGACUCUCGUCCGCGUCGGUCCAAGAGGGGCAUUCAUAACUGUUAUUGACUUUAUUAUUAAUGAGUAAGACAUUUGCAAAAUACAGAAUUUCAUGAAAUAUAACGAA